rnacentral:rRNA from 1 species
GAUGAACGCUGGCGGCGUGCCUAACACAUGCAAGUCGAACGAAAAGACGAUGAACUUGCUCGUCUUACGUUAGCGGCGCAGGUGGGUGAAACAUGUGUAUAAUCCACCUAGAUGACGGGGAAAACUUCGUGAAAACGGAUCUUAUACCGGAGAAUAUAUUGAAGCGCAUGGUGGGAUAGAAAAAGACGGUUUUGCUGUCAAUGAUAGCUGCUUCCCCGCCGUAUUAGCUAGUUGUGAAGGUAACGGCUUACCAAGGCAACGAUGCGUAGGCGAACUGAGAGGAUGAUAGGCCACACUGGAACUGAGACACGGUCCAGACUCCUACGGGAGGCAGCAGUCGGGAAUCUUACGCAAUGGGCGAAAGCAUGACGCAGCCACGCCGCGCGUGUGAUGAAGGCCUUCGGAUCGUAAAGAUCUGUUAUUGGGGAUGAACAAAUGUGUACGUAAACAUAGACGUAUUGACGGUACCUGGUCAAGAAGCACCGGCUAACUACGUG